rnacentral:pre_miRNA from 1 species
GGGGGGAGGCCAGAUCCUUGGCUGUGUCCCGGCAACCAGUGCUCCCAGGCCUGCACUGCUGGAUUUGCGCUCCCGGCUCUGUUGGAUUUGCGCUCCCGGCCGUGCAGCCCCCU